UGGGGAAUAUUGGACAAUGGGGGCAACCCUGAUCCAGCAAUGCCGCGUGUGUGAUGAAGGCCCUAGGGUUGUAAAGCACUUUCAACGGUGACGAUGAUGACGGUAACCGUAGAAGAAGCCCCGGCUAACUUCGUGCCAGCAGCCGCGGUAAUACGAAGGGGGCGAGCGUUGUUCGGAAUUACUGGGCGUAAAGGGCGCGUAGGCGGUCUAUCCAGUUGGGCGUGAAAGCCCUGGGCUCAACCCAGGAAUUGCGUCCAAUACUAAUAGACUAGAGACCGAGAGAGGAUAGUGGAAUUUCCAGUGUAGAGGUGAAAUUCGUAGAUAUUGGAAAGAACACCAGUGGCGAAAGCGACUAUCUGGCUCGGUUCUGACGCUGAGGCGCGAAAGCGUGGGGAGCAAACAGG
rnacentral:rRNA from 1 species